rnacentral:rRNA from 1 species
UGCAGUCGAGCGAACAGACGAAGUACUUGUACUUCUGACGUUAGCGGCGGACGGGUGAGUAACACGUAAGGAAUCUACCUAUAAGCGGGGGAUAACAUUCGGAAACGGAUGCUAAUACCGCAUAACAUUUACUUCCGCAUGGAAGUAAAUUGAAAGACGGCUCUGCUGUCACUUAUAGAUGACCUUGCGGUGCAUUAGUUAGUUGGUGGGGUAAUGGCCUACCAAGACGAUGAUGCAUAGCCGACCUGAGAGGGUGAUCGGCCACAUUGGGACUGAGACACGGCCCAAACUCCUACGGGAGGCAGCAGUAGGGAAUCUUCCGCAAUGGGCGAAAGCCUGACGGAGCAAUGCCGCGUGAGUGAAGAAGGCCUUCGGGUCGUAAAACUCUGUUAUAAGAGAAGAACAAAUUGUAGAGUAACUGCUACAGUCUUGACGGUAUCUUAUCAGAAAGCCACGGCUAACUACGUGCCAGCAGCCGCGGUAAUACGUAGGUGGCAAGCGUUGUCCGGAUUUAUUGGGCGUAAAGGGAGCGCAGGUGGUUUCUUAAGUCUGAUGUGAAAGCCCACGGCUCAACCGUGGAGGGUCAUUGGAAACUGGGGAACUUGAGUACAGAAGAGGAAUGUGGAACUCCAUGUGUAGCGGUGGAAUGCGUAGAUAUAUGGAAGAACACCAGUGGCGAAGGCGACAUUCUGGUCUGUUACUGACACUGAGGCUCGAAAGCGUGGGGAGCAAACAGGAUUAGAUA